rnacentral:rRNA from 1 species
CAAUAGCGUAUAUUAAAGUUGUUGCAGUUAAGAAGCUCGUAGUUGGAUUUCGGGGCAGCCUGGCUGGUCCGCCGCAAGGCGAGUACUGGUCAGCCGCCCUUCCUCUCGAAAGCCCCGACUGCUCUUCGUUGCAGUGGUCGGGUAGUUCGGGACGUUUACUUUGAAAAAAUUAGAGUGUUCAAGGCAGGCCUACGCCUGAAUACAUUAGCAUGGAAUAAUGGAAGAGGACCUCGGUCCUAUUUUGUUGGUUUCCAGGGCCGAAGUAAUGAUUAAGAGGGACAGUUGGGGGCAUUCGUAUUUAAUUGUCAGAGGUGAAAUUCUCGGAUUUAUGAAAGACGAACAACUGCGAAAGCAUUUGCCAAGGAUGUUUUCAUUAA